CUAAACCUAAUACUAGUUAAAUCACUAUGUUACCCAUAAUGCUAAACCUAAUACUAGUUAAAUCACUAUGUCACCCAUAAUGCUAAACCUUAUACUAGUUAAAUCACUAUGUCACCCAUAAUGCUAAACCUAAUACUAGUUAAAUCACUAUGUCACCCAUAAUGCUAAACCUAAUACUAGUUAAAUCACUAUGUCACCCAUAAUGCUAAACCUAAUACUAGUUAAAUCACAAUUCCUCCAGUAUUGUUAAACCUAAUACUAGUUAAAUCACUAUGUCACCCAUAAUGCUAAACCUUAUACUAGUUAAAUCACUAUGUCACCCAUAAUGCUAAACCUAAUACUAGUUAAAUAGCAAUUCCUCCAGUAUUGCUAAACCUUAUACUAGUUAAAUCACUGUCUCCCAUAUUGCUAAACAUUAUACUAGUUAAAUCACUAAGGCGCCCAAAAUGGAGAGUCAAAUGUUGGCAAAGACUGUAGAUUGUAAAUGCAUUUACAUGAAGUAAAUACAUUUCUACUAGUAGGUAGACUACUCUGACACUAAAAGCCCCCUAGUGGAGACACUACAGAAGGUAGAAUACUCUGACACUAAAAGCCCCCUAGUGGAGACACUACAGAAGGUAGAAUACUCUGACACACCAAACCCAUUUUCUACCAUGGAUCUAGAAAAUGCCUUAAGCCUUUCUCACCAUUACCAAUUUGUUUUUCUUUUGCUUUCGCAAGCUAUACCAUAACCCUUUGCCAAAUACAAGACAUGUCAGUGUAAUAGAAUCACCUUCUAUGUCGGUGCCUUUUCUCUCAUCUCUCCUGGAGGAUAAAUGGAGAAACAUCAAAUGUCAUAUCCCAUUUUCUCAUAUUGUAUAACAUUGAUGUACAUUUAUUUUGAAAGUGCUUAUUGAUUGUUAACAGUGAAAAGUCAGUGCUACAUAAUUCUAGUAUAGACGUCACCUUUUCUCAAACAUCAAAUGUUGACACCCACAUGAGAUUGUUACCUUGAGAGUUAAACUAACUUCUAGCACUGAUGUUGAUGUUUACUUUCUGUUUGUUUGUAUCUUUGUUUGUGUCAUUUUCUAACGUUGAUUUUUCUUGUAACUGGACAUAUUUUAAUGUAUUACAAUGUGUUACUGUCUUGUAUAACUACCUCAGGGUUAAAACAUUCAACACAUUUAUCUCGUUUACUCAUCAUGAUUUCAGUAGAGAAGUUUCAGUAGAGAAGAUCUUAUUGCUGAUUGGACAGUACUCUGGACCCUUCUGAUUGGGCAUCAUACACGUCCUGAAUCUGCUGGACAUCCCUGUAAACACUUGCUGCCAACACUAGCAACGUAUGGUGUUUUGUGUCAAUCAAUCAACCUAUUAAAUGAUCAACAAACCGUCUCAAUAAAAUGC
ensembl:lncRNA